GGGGCCGACAUGGUUUCGACUCCGUACAGUGAGCCAGGGGAAGCGUGCCGGUGCAGGCUGGAGACCACCGUAAGCGUCGCAGCAACCCAAUAAGCGCCGAGAACACUCAGCGCGACUACGCCCUCGCUGCCUAAGCAGCGACCGCGUGUCUGUCAGACCGGGCAGGCCUCUGGCCCGGACCCUGGCAUCGUUUAAUGGGGCUCGCUCGCCGGAUGGGCCGCAAGGUCCGGCGGGGACACCUACUUGCGGCUGGGCCCGUCAUCCGGUCAUCGUUUGCCUGAACCGGAGGGCCGAGCAGAGACCCCGCGCAAACUGCGCACGGAGAAGCCCUGGCGAGUUGGCGGAGGACCCGGGUUCAAUUCCCGGCGGCUCCACAA
rnacentral:tmRNA from 1 species